rnacentral:misc_RNA from 1 species
AAAGUCGUAACAAGGUUUCCGUAGGUGAACCUGCGGAAGGAUCAUUAUUAUUUGGGUCGGGUUUACUUCUUUUGUUAACUUGUUUCAGUCGCUGUUCUAGUAUAUUUAAGAAGUAAACUUUUACCAAAUAAUCCUAUAUUCUCCUAUAGGAGCAAGAUGACAUUAUAUUUAAAACCCACACUUUUGAAUAUAUUUUUGUAUAUUUUUUGAAUGAUAAUAAAAGAUCACUUUCAACAACGGAUCUCUUGGCUCUC